GGAGAGGGUAUAGCUCAGUGGUAGAGCGCAUGCCUAGUAUGCAUGAGGUCCUGGGUUCAAUCCCUGGUACCUCCA
rnacentral:tRNA from 1 species